GCCAAAUCUAGCCCAACCGGAAGCAAACUCAACUAACAUAACCACAUAAAUCAAAACAUUUAGUCAACCAUAAAAGUAUAGGAGAUAGAAAUUUAACUUGGCGCUAUAGAGACAGUACCGCAAGGGAAAGAUGAAAGAAAGACUUUUAAAGCACCACACAGCAAAGAUUACCCCUUGUACCUUUUGCAUAAUGGAUUAGCUAGACAUAAUCUAACAAAGAGAACUUAAGCUAGAUCCCCCGAAACCAGACGAGCUACCUAUGAACAAUCUACACAGGAUGAACUCGUCUAUGUUGCAAAAUAGUGAGAAGAUUUGUAGGUAGAGGUGAAAAGCCUAACGAGCCUGGUGAUAGCUGGUUGCCCAGAAAAGAAUUUUAGUUCGACUUUAAACUUGCCUGAAAAAACCCAAAAUUCAAAUGUAAGUUUAAAAUAUAAUCUAAAAGGGUACAGCUUUUUAGAACUAGGAUACAGCCUUAAUUAGAGAGUAAGCAUUAACAUUAACCAUAGUUGGCCUAAAAGCAGCCACCAAUUGAGAAAGCGUUCAAGCUCAACAAUACAACAUAUUCUUAAUGUCAAAAAUACGCAACCAACUCCUAACCUAAUACUGGGCCAAUCUAUUUAAUAAUAGAAGAAACAAUGCUAGUAUGAGUAACAAGAAACAUUUCUCCUUGCAUAAGCUUAUAUCAGAACGGAUAACCACUGAUAGUUAACAACAAGAUAAAAACAACCCAACCAUAAACUAAAUAUCAAUCUUACUGUUAACCCGACACAGGUAUGCAACUAAGGAAAGAUUAAAAGAAGUAAAAGGAACUCGGCAAACACAAACCCCGCCUGUUUACCAAAAACAUCACCUCUAGCAUUCCCAGUAUUAGAGGCACUGCCUGCCCAGUGACAUUAGUUAAACGGCCGCGGUAUCCUGACCGUGCAAAGGUAGCAUAAUCAUUUGUUCCUUAAAUAGGGACUCGUAUGAACGGCCACACGAGGGUUUAACUGUCUCUUACUUCUAAUCCGUGAAAUUGACCUUCCCGUGAAGAGGCGGAAAUAAAACAAUAAGACGAGAAGACCCUAUGGAGCUUCAAUUAACUGACUCAAAGAGACAAAAAAUCUAACCAACAGGGACAACAAACCUCCAUAUGAGCCAGCAAUUUGGGUUGGGGUGACCUCGGAGUAUAAAACAACCUCCGAGUGAUUUUAAAUCUAGACCUACCAGUCAAAAGUACUACAUCACUUAUUGAUCCAAAACACUUGAUCAACGGAACAAGUUACCCUAGGGAUAACAGCGCAAUCCUAUUCUAGAGUCCAUAUCGACAAUAGGGUUUACGACCUCGAUGUUGGAUCAGGACAUCCCGAUGGUGCAGCAGCUAUCAAAGGUUCGUUUGUUCAACGAUUAAAGUCCUACGUGAUCUGAGUUCAGACCGGAGCAAUCCAGGUCGGUUUCUAUCUAUUAAACAAUUUCUCCCAGUACGAAAGGACAAGAGAAAUAAGGCCCACUCUACAAAAGCGCCUUCAGUGCAAUAGAUGAUAUAAUCUCAAUCUAGACAACUUACCUAAUAUUUACCCAGCCCAAGAGCCUGGGCUU
rnacentral:rRNA from 1 species